AGUGGCGGACGGGUGAGUAACACGUAAGAAUUUGCCUCUAGGAGGGGGACAACAGCUGGAAACGGCUGCUAAUACCCCAUAUGCUUUCGAGUGAAAUGAAAUUUUUCGCCUAGAGAGAAGCUUGCGGCUGAUUAGCUUGUUGGUAAGGUAAUGGCUUACCAAGGCGACGAUCAGUAUCUGGUUUGAGAGGACGAUCAGACACACUGGAACUGAGACACGGUCCAGACUCCUACGGGAGGCAGCAGUGGGGAAUUUUCCGCAAUGGGCGAAAGCCUGACGGAGCAAUCUCGCGUGAGGGAUGACUGCCUAUGGGUUGUAAACCUCUUUUUUCAGGGAGGAAUCAAUGACGUGUACCUGAAGAAUAAGCAUCGGCUAACUCCGUGCCAGCAGCCGCGGUAAGACGGAGGAUGCAAGUGUUAUCCGGAAUCACUGGGCGUAAAGCGUCUGUAGGUGGUUUACUAAGUCAACUGUUAAAUCUUGAAGCUCAGCUUCAAAAUCGCAGUCGAAACUAGUAGACUAGAGUAUAGUAGGGGUAAAGGGAAUUUCCAGUGGAGCGGUGAAAUGCGUAGAGAUUGGAAAGAACACCGAUGGCGAAGGCACUUUACUGGGCUAUUACUGACACUCAGAGACGAAAGCUAGGGUAGCAAAUGGGAUUAGAUACCCCAGUAGUCCUAGCCGUAAACAAUGGAUACUAGAUGUU
rnacentral:rRNA from 1 species